GGACUACCGGGGUAUCUAAUCCUGUUUGCUCCCCUAGCUUUCGCAGAUCAGCGUCAGUGAUGGCCCAGAAACCUGCUUUCGCCAUAGGUAUUCCUCCCGAUAUCUACGCAUUUCACCGCUACACCGGGAAUUCCAGUUUCCUCUGCCACACUCUAGCCGGGUAGUUUCCCUUGACCUCUCCCAGUUAAGCCAGGAGCUUUCACAAAAGACUUACCCAACCGCCUACCUGCGCUUUACGCCUAGUGAUUCCGAGUAUCGCUUGCCACCUUCGUAUUACCGCGGCUGCUGGCAC
rnacentral:rRNA from 1 species